rnacentral:rRNA from 1 species
AUGGUCGAGCCCCUAGCCCCCCACCUUAGCAGCUGCCUGGAGAGGAGGAUAGCUCAAGGACAACUCCCAAUGUGCCGAGGAGAUGGGAACAUCUACAACUAUGGUAAUGCAGGCCUACUUGUGUUCAAGGAUAAGCCGACGCCUAAUAAGGAUCAGGAGAACAACAGAUAUGCUAAGAGACAACCUUUUGGGGUUAAGGAUAUAAACAACAACAGGGCUUAUGAGGCCGAAGAGAGCUCGCGUGGCGUCUUUUGGUUCUUGAAGACCUGCACGUUGCUGGUGGAGUAG